AUACGGGGGGAGCAAGCGUUGUCCGGAAUUACUGGGCGUAAAGGGCGUGUAGGCGGCUUGAUAAGUCAGAUGUGAAAGCCUUCCGCUUAACGGAAGAACUGCAUUUGAAACUGUCGGGCUUGAGUGCGAGAGAGGGUAGUGGAAUUCCCGGUGUAGCGGUGAAAUGCGUAGAUAUUGGGAAGAACACCAGUAGCGAAGGCGGCUACCUGGCUCGUAACUGACGCUAAGGCGCGAAAGCGUGGGGAGCAAACAGGAUUAGAAACCCCGGUAGUCC
rnacentral:rRNA from 1 species